GCCUGUGUGGCUCAACUGGUUGAGCAUCUGACUCUUGAUUUCAGCUCGGGUCAUGAUCUCAGGGUUUGUGGGUUUGAGCCCCGCUUCUGGCU
rnacentral:tRNA from 1 species